rnacentral:rRNA from 1 species
CCAAGGAGUCUAACAUGUGCGCGAGUCAUUGGGGAUCUCUCGAGACCCACAGGCACAAUGAAAGUGAAAUACGUUGAUGACGGGGAGGGGGUCAUUGACUUGCACUUGCCUCCCCCGAAACUAGGCGGGAUCCGUCCGGGAAUAACAGAGAAAAGGGCAACUAGUUUGUCUUUGGAUUGAAUCCCGGCGGCGCACCGCCGGCCCGUCGCAACCGCUAAGAGGAUUCCAGGGAGUAAAAUUCUUGGUUUCUUUUGUUUGACUGCCGGUGCGGCGGAGCAAGAGCGUACACGUUGGGACCCGAAAGAUGGUGAUCUAUGCCUGGGCAGGACGAAGCCAGAGGAAACUCUGGUGGAGGUCCGUAGCGAUUCUGACGUGCAAAUCGAUCGUCGGACCUGGGUAUAGGGGCGAAAGACUAAUCGAACCGUCUA